UGCACCAGGAUAAAGCGUGAAGCGUUAUUUGGCCGCUUAAGGCACUCCAGUACUCGAACACGCGUCUUACUCACUCGACUUGGCACCCUGCGACUUUUACUUGUUUCCGAAGAUAAAGUCUGCCUUAAAAGGAAUCCGGUUUGAGUCGAUGGAAGAGGUGAAACUAAAAUCGGCGGAAAGGUGAAACUAAAAUCGGCGGAACUCCUGAAUGGUCUUACGAAAACAGACUUCCAGCACUGCCUCGAGCAA